GUUUAGAAGCCUCGUAAUGCUUUUAGGUUUGAUUAUUGAAUUUUCAUAUUAAUGUUGUUGUUUAUAGAAUGGUUCUAACCUUAGCACUGCUAGUUCUACUCUCAACUUUAAGCCAUCCCAAUUGAAGGGUGUUCUAGUACUCAGAUUGUGGAAGGUUUAAGGAUUGUUAGUCAUCAAGGAGGCUAAUUAGAUAGGUUUCUUGGUUUAACCCAUCUUCUAGGGUAGUGAACGUGAGUAUUGAUGGUUACUCUAAGGGCAAUCCUAGGAUAAUUGUAGUGGUGUUGAUUUUUGUGAUCAUAAGGGUUCUGUUUAACUGCCAUUGGUUAUUUUCUUGGGUACUAUCCAAUAUUUUUACUGAGUUGAUGGCUAUUUGUGAGGGUUUGGAUUUUGCUGCUUAGCUUGGCUUUAUUAUUCUGGAGUUGGAGUUUGAUACGGCUACUGUGAUUUCUUAGAUUAUUUCUCAUGGCUUUGGGAACCGGGAAUAUGCAUAUCUUCUUUGCCAGGUUCAUGUUUUUUGUUCUGCUUUAUUUGUUCUUAUAAAACAUGUUCUUCAAGAAGCUACUUUUUUUUUUUCUAAUU
rnacentral:lncRNA from 1 species